GUGCCAGCCGCCGCGGUAAUACAGAGGGUGCAAGCGUUAAUCGGAAUUACUGGGCGUAAAGCGCGCGUAGGUGGUUUGUUAAGUUGGAUGUGAAAUCCCCGGGCUCAACCUGGGAACUGCAUUCAAAACUGACUGACUAGAGUGUAGUAGAGGGUGGUGGAAUUUCCUGUGUAGCGGUGAAAUGCGUAGAUUUAGGAAGGAACACCAGUGGCGAAGGCGACCACCUGGACCAACACUGACACUGAGGUGCGAAGGCGUGGGGAGCAAACAGGAUUAGAUACCCUUGUAGUCC
rnacentral:rRNA from 1 species